AGAACGAACGCUGGCGGCACGCCUAACACAUGCAAGUCGAGCGCCCAGCAAUGGGAGCGGCGGACGAGUGAGUAACACGUGGGAACAUGCCUUUCGGUUCGGCACAACUCAGGGAAACUUGAGCUAAUUCCGGAUGCGCCCGUAAGGGGAAAGAUUUAUCGCCGAAAGAUUGGCCCGCGUAAGAUUAGCUAGUUGGUGAGGUAAUGGCUCACCAAGGCAACGAUCUUUAGCUGGUUUGAGAGAACGACCAGCCACGUUGGGACUGAGACACGGCCCAAACUCCUACGGGAGGCAGCAGUGGGGAAUCUUGGACAAUGGGCGAAAGCCUGAUCCAGCGAUGCCGCGUGAGUGAUGAAGGCCUUCGGGUUGUAAAACUCUUUUACCCGGGAAGAUAAUGACUGUACCGGGAGAAUAAGCUCCGGCUAACUUCGCGCCAGCAGCCGC
rnacentral:rRNA from 1 species